rnacentral:rRNA from 1 species
GCAGUCGAGCGAACCCUUCGGGGUUAGCGGCGGACGGGUGAGUAACGCGUGGGAACGUGCCCUUCUCUGCGGAAUAGGCUCGGGAAACUGGGUUUAAUACCGCAUACGCCCUUCGGGGGAAAGAUUUAUCGGAGAAGGAUCGGCCCGCGUUAGAUUAGGUAGUUGGUGGGGUAAUGGCCUACCAAGCCUACGAUCUAUAGCUGGUUUGAGAGGAUGAUCAGCCACACUGGGACUGAGACACGGCCCAGACUCCUACGGGAGGCAGCAGUGAGGAAUCUUGGACAAUGGGGGAAACCCUGAUCCAGCCAUGCCGCGUGAGCGAUGAAGGCCUUAGGGUUGUAAAGCUCUUUCAGUCGUGAAGAUAAUGACGGUAGCGACAGAAGAAGCCCCGGCUAACUCCGUGCCAGCAGCCGCGGUAAUACGGAGGGGGCUAGCG